CGCCUUGCCAGCCCGCUCAGAAACUUAAAGGAAUUGACGGGGGCCCGCACAAGCGGUGGAGCAUGUGGUUUAAUUCGAUGAUACGCGAGGAACCUUACCUGGGCUCAAAUGUAUGUUGACGUAUUCUGAAAGGGAUACUUCUUCGGACAAUAUACAAGGUGCUGCAUGGUUGUCGUCAGCUCGUGCCGUGAGGUGUCGGGUUAAGUCCCAUAACGAGCGCAACCCCUACCUUUAGUUGCCAUCAGGUUAAGCUGGGGACUCUAAAGGAACUGCCUACGCAAGUAGUGAGGAAGGCGGGGAUGACGUCAAAUCAGCACGGCCCUUACGUCCAGGGCUACACACGUGCUACAAUGGCCGAUACAGAGGGCAGCUACCUGGUGACAGGAUGCAAAUCUCCAAAGUCGGUCUCAGUUCGGAUCGGAGUCUGCAACCCGACUCCGUGAAGUUGGAAUCGCUAGUAAUCGCGCAUCAGCAUGGCGCGGUGAAUACGUUCCCGGGCCUU
rnacentral:rRNA from 1 species